rnacentral:rRNA from 1 species
UACAUGGGGUGCAAACGUUGCUCGGAAUUAUUGGGCGUAAAGCGCGCGUAGGCGGUUACUUAAGUCGGAUGUGAAAGCCCUCGGUUUAACUGAGGAAGUGCACCCGAAACUGAGUAGCUAGAGUACGAAAGAGGGUCGCGGAAUUCCCAGUAUAGAGGUGAAAUUCGCAGAUAUCAGGAGGAACACCGAUGGCGAAGGCAGCUCGCUGGGACGGUACUGACGCUGAGGCGCGAAAGCGUGGGGAGCAAACAGG